rnacentral:rRNA from 1 species
CUAUACAUGCAGUCGAGCGGACAGAAGGGAGCUUGCUCCCGGAUGUUAGCGGCGGACGGGUGAGUAACACGUGGGUAACCUGCCUGUAAGACUGGGAUAACUCCGGGAAACCGGAGCUAAUACCGGAUAGUUCCUUGAACCGCAUGGUUCAAGGAUGAAAGACGGUUUCGGCUGUCACUUACAGAUGGACCCGCGGCGCAUUAGCUAGUUGGUGGGGUAAUGGCUCACCAAGGCGACGAUGCGUAGCCGACCUGAGAGGGUGAUCGGCCACACUGGGACUGAGACACGGCCCAGACUCCUACGGGAGGCAGCAGUAGGGAAUCUUCCGCAAUGGACGAAAGUCUGACGGAGCAACGCCGCGUGAGUGAUGAAGGUUUUCGGAUCGUAAAGCUCUGUUGUUAGGGAAGAACAAGUGCGAGAGUAACUGCUCGCACCUUGACGGUACCUAACCAGAAAGCCACGGCUAACUACCUGCCAGCAGCCGCGGUAAUACGUAGGUGGCAAGCGUUGUCCGGAAUUCUUGGGCGUAAAGGGCUCGCAGGCGGUUUCUUAAGUCUGAUGUGAAAGCCCCCGGCUCAACCGGGGAGGGUCAUUGGAAACUGGGAAACUUGAGUGCAGAAGAGGAGAGUGGAAUUCCACGUGUAGCGGUGAAAUGCGUAGAGAUGUGGAGGAACACCAGUGGCGAAGGCGACUCUCUGGUCUGUAACUGACGCUGAGGAGCGAAAGCGUGGGGAGCGAACAGGAUUAGAUACUCUGGUAGUCCACGCCGUAAACGAUGAGUGCUAAGUGUUAGGGGGUUUCCGCCCCUUAGUGCUGCAGCUAACGCAUUAAGCACUCCGCCUGGGGGAGUACGGUCGCAAGACUGAAACUCA